rnacentral:sRNA from 1 species
GCUGGGUGUGGUGGUGCACGCCUGUAAUCCCAGCAGCUCAGGAGGCAGAGACAGGAAGAUCUUGAAUUCAAAACCAACCUCAGCAAUUUAGCGAGACCCUGAGCAACUCAGUGAGGCCCUGACUCUA